rnacentral:rRNA from 1 species
ACAGAUGGGAGCUUGCUCCCUGAUGUUAGCGGCGGACGGGUGAGUAACACGUGGGUAACCUGCCUGUAAGACUGGGAUAACUCCGGGAAACCGGGGCUAAUACCGGAUGCUUGUUUGAACCGCAUGGUUCAAACAUAAAAGGUGGCUUCGGCUACCACUUACAGAUGGACCCGCGGCGCAUUAGCUAGUUGGUGAGGUAACGGCUCACCAAGGCAACGAUGCGUAGCCGACCUGAGAGGGUGAUCGGCCACACUGGGACUGAGACACGGCCCAGACUCCUACGGGAGGCAGCAGUAGGGAAUCUUCCGCAAUGGACGAAAGUCUGACGGAGCAACGCCGCGUGAGUGAUGAAGGUUUUCGGAUCGUAAAGCUCUGUUGUUAGGGAAGAACAAGUACCGUUCGAAUAGGGCGGUACCUUGACGGUACCUAACCAGAAAGCCACGGCUAACUACGUGCCAGCAGCCGCGGUAAUACGUAGGUGGCAAGCGUUGUCCGGAAUUAUUGGGCGUAAAGGGCUCGCAGGCGGUUCCUUAAGUCUGAUGUGAAAGCCCCCGGCUCAACCGGGGAGGGUCAUUGGAAACUGGGGAACUUGAGUGCAGAAGAGGAGAGUGGAAUUCCACGUGUAGCGGUGAAAUGCGUAGAGAUGUGGAGGAACACCAGUGGCGAAGGCGACUCUCUGGUCUGUAACUGACGCUGAGGAGCGAAAGCGUGGGGAGCGAACAGGAUUAGAUACCCUGGUAGUCCACGCCGUAAACGAUGAGUGCUAAGUGUUAGGGGGUUUCCGCCCCUUAGUGCUGCAGCUAACGCAUUAAGCACUCCGCCUGGGGAGUACGGUCGCAAGACUGAAACUCAAAGGAAUUGACGGGG